GCGGGGACAAUGAGCCUGGCAGCAGCACCCAGGGGCUCUUCCACAAAACACCAGUGGCAGCAGAAGUCAGACCAGAGUGAGGGAGCAGGGCCUCAUGGCUGGCAGGCACUUGUGGGGAGUAAAAUGUCCCCAAACCAACUCCCUGAAUCUCACCCAUUCUACAAGAAGGAUACAAAACUGUGCUCACUGGCACACAGAGCACCCAGGUCUCAGCCACCAGAGCUUUGUGAUACCCCACCUCUGGAGGGCCUCUCUCUGAUCUUGUAGGUGGGCAGGGCUACUCUACACUGUCCAGCGAUAAAUCUCCCCUCAGUGCCCAUUCAGCAGAGUAGUUCAGGUCUCAAAAGGAUCAUUUGCAGUUCCGCCUGUCCCAGACCCCUGUAUUUGCAAACAUAUGUCGAACUCUUCCUGCAUGCCAGGGAAAAAAAAUAAUGAGCACUUCCCUCAACAGGUUUACUGGCUGGUGUAAGAGUGUGAGUUUAGUGGAAUUAGGACAUAGCCAUGGGGUGCAGAGUCAGAGAGACGAGAGCUCUGUUACGUGUCCUGGUGAAAUGAAGGUACCUAAAACAGUGUAGGCACUCAGAGUAACAGUUCUUACUAUUACCAACAUCAUCAACAUCACCAUCACUAACACCACCAUAAACAUCAUCACUAUCAUCACAGUCAUCACCAUCACCACCAUCAUCAGAGUCAUUUACCAUCACCAUCACCAACAUCAUCACAGUCAUCACCAUCAUCAGGGUCAUCACCAUCACCAUCAACAUCAUCACCACCAUCACCGUCAUCAUCCACCAUCACCACCAUCAAUAUCACAGUCAUCACCAUCAUCAUCAUCAUCAUCAUCACCAUCAUCACUGUCAUCAUCACCAUCAUCAUCAUCAGUCAUCACCAUCAUAAGGGUCAUCACCAUCAACAUCAACAUCAUCACCACCAUCAACAUCACCAUCAUUACAAUCAACACCACCACCAUAUCCAUCACCACCAUCAAUAUCAUCACAGUCAUUACCAUCAUCACCAUCACCAUCAUCAUCACCAUCACCAUCACUGUGAUCAUCACCACCAUCAGCAGCAGCACCACUAUUAUUAUUAUGGUGCUGGUAUGAAAGACUUUCUCAGGAAAUACUUAGCCUUCACAUAUAAUUUUCAUCUCAUAAAUAAUGCAGGAUGCACAGAAGUCCCCCGGAGGAGCACAGGGCAAUGCUAUUCCCAACUCUCUACCACAAGUGGUGGUCUUUCUCAUAAUGAGGACAUAAUCUGCAAAUAGUGAAAGAUUCUGGUAACUUCAGGAUGCUGAGGUC
rnacentral:lncRNA from 1 species